rnacentral:tRNA from 1 species
GCGGUCGUGGCGGAACUGGCAGACGCGCACGUUUGAGGGGCGUGUGGUUACACCGUGAGGGUUCAAGUCCCUCCGACCGCACCA